UAAACAUAUAUAUGGGAGAAUACACCAAAAAUUAACCAGACUAUGCAUUACUGUAAUUUGUUCUAAGAACUGGGAAUCACUGCCAGUGGUUCUCAAGAAUCUUAUCUCCCAGCAGACAUUUUUUUAAUCAGAGGAAUCUGAUAUAAAAAGGGGAUAGUUAAUACCAUCCACAUCUCAUAAGUUUAUGGAAAGGCCUAAGUAACAUAUAUUUAUAUAUUCUAAAAAUACAUAAAACACAGUACAUAAAUAUCCAUUAUGCUAUAGUUCUUUUAUGAUACAGCCUGUUUCAGUAUAACAAUUUAAAUGCUUCAAACAGGUCUAAAGAUAAUUAUUUCAUUCCAAAAUAACAGCUGUGAUAAGUUAAAUGGUUUCAAAAGUUGAGUGGAAUUAAAAUGAAAUGAAACCACAGAAAACUUUGAGUUCAAGUACACAAGAUGAGAUGCUGAUGGUCACAAAAAUCAUGCCCUACACUAGUAUUUUCUAUAUAGUAGUCCCCGGAGCACUGAUUGUAAACCAAAUGAAAUAAGCUGUACUAAGUGUUAAGAAAUAAACAUAGGGAAGCCUAACAUUAAAACAGAGUUUGAUCCCGCCCCACUUCACUGCAAAGCGCUG
rnacentral:lncRNA from 1 species